rnacentral:lncRNA from 1 species
GGAAUUCACAGUUUGAAAAGAAAGCAACUUGUUUUUGUAAGACUCAUUUCCAGAGAGCCAGCUCCUCUGUUUCCAUUUGCACCAGAUGACUUCAGGUCAGCAGAAUAUGGAAAGGACAGUCUCAGCCAAGGCUCCAAGAGCCUAGGCUAACAAGGCCCUAGGGGAAAGGCCUUCAAAGGGUACACAGAUUACUUACUGUGUCUGCCAGUGAAACUGACCAAAAGGAAGCAGACCUGCCGGUGCAGGCCAGGCACCAGGAAGUGUGAAAAUGCCGUGUUAAUGGCCACUGACUGUGGACACUCCUACAAGCUGUUCUUUGGAAGUCUGAUCUGGUUUGGCUGAAGGGCUGUGCCAGUAAGAACCACUUCCACCCAGCUGCUCUGCAGAAUUGGGGCAUCAGGAAGUUUGACAACGUGCUUUUCAUGAUCAUCAACAGAAAGUUUGUUGACUCAUGACCUAGAUGACUGCAAGAGCCUACAAUGAAGUCCCUCUGCAAACAGAAGCAAAAGGCACAGUCUGCUCCUCCUAAAGCAAGUCCACAUCUCUACUCCAGAAAAGAGCAAACUAUUUACAACUAUUUAAAUACAGCCUUUUCAUCUUAAAAAUUACAUUAAGUUUCUGGAAUUCUGAUAUACCCAAUUCCAAUUCUGGAGGCUGGCAAGUUCAAGAUCAAGGUGCCAGAAGAUUUGGUGUUUGGAUGGUCAUUUUCUGCUGCUAUGGCCCAGUUUGUGCCUUCAAGGACUGACUGUGUAAAAAAGAGCCCAGAAACUCUUUGAACUGACUUACAGUAGCUUCUUCAGCAGUCAGCUGUAACGAUGGCUGGAGCACCUGGUACCUGAGUGAGGGCCAAGAAUGGGCUCUGCAUGUGCCCUCCCUCAACAAUUGCCCACCACCCAUUCUCACACAAAUGCAGUGGGGGAUGAACCUGUAGGGAUGGGUAAUCAGCCUGAAAGGAACAAUUUUGCAUAUGUGUAAAAUCUGAAAAAAUAAAUUAUUAUUCAUGGGAAACAUGCCACUAAUAUGAUAGAGAAGAAAAAGUUUGAUAUUUGGUGUCUGAACAUUUGGGUGUUUCCAGACCUAUCUCUGCCAUUUACUCUAUGAUUAAGACUUCACGACAUAAGUUUUCUGAGUCUCAUCUUCC